rnacentral:rRNA from 1 species
AGAGUUUGAUCCUGGCUCAGAGUGAACGCUGGCGGCGUGCUUAACACAUGCAAGUCGCACGAGAAAGCUUCAGCUUGCUGAGGCAAGUAAAGUGGCGCACGGGUGAGUAACGCGUGGGUAAUCUCCCCCCGAAUUGGGGAUAACAUCGCGAAAGCGAUGCUAAUACCGGAUAAUAUCUUUAAAACUUACGUUUUUUAGAUCAAAGGUGGCCUCUACAUGUAAGCUACUGUUUGGGGAUGAGCCCGCGUACCAUUAGCUUGUUGGUAGGGUAAUGGCCUACCAAGGCUACGAUGGUUAGCUGGUCUGAGAGGAUGAUCAGCCACACUGGAACUGACACACGGUCCAGACUCCUACGGGAGGCAGCAGUGAGGAAUUUUGCGCAAUGGGGGAAACCCUGACGCAGCAACGCCGCGUGAGUGAUGAAGGCUUUCGGGUCGUAAAGCUCUGUCAAGUGGGAAGAAACCACGCGAUGACAAUAUCAUCGUGUAUUGACGGUACCACUGAAGGAAGCACCGGCUAACUCCGUGCCAGCAGCCGCGGUAAUACGGGGGGUGCAAGCGUUAUUCGGAAUUACUGGGCGUAAAGAGCGCGUAGGCGGUCUUAUAAGUCAGGUGUGAAAGCCCGGGGCUUAACCCCGGAAGUGCACUUGAAACUAUGAGACUUGAGUAUGGGAGAGGGAAGUGGAAUUCCUGGUGUAGCGGUGAAAUGCGUAGAUAUCAGGAGGAACACCGGUG